rnacentral:tRNA from 1 species
GAUCGAAUCGCCGCUUCCCCAGCUGGACCAUCUUUUUGACUACGCCAUCCCUGCGGAGCUCGCCGGCCUGGCCCGUGCCGGUGUGCGGGUUCGAGUCCCGUUUCGAUCC